rnacentral:rRNA from 1 species
GACGUAGGGCGCGAGCGUUGUCCGGAUUUAUUGGGCGUAAAGGGCUCGUAGGCGGUUUGUCGCGUCGGGAGUGAAAUCCACUGGCUUAACUGGUGGCUUGCUUUCGAUACGGGCAGACUAGAGGCAUGCAGGGGAGAACGGAAUUCCUGGUGUAGCGGUGAAAUGCGCAGAUAUCAGGAGGAACACCGGUGGCGAAGGCGGUUCUCUGGGCAUGUCCUGACGCUGAGGAGCGAAAGUGUGGGGAGCGAACAGG